rnacentral:rRNA from 1 species
AGUGAACGCUGGCGGUAGGCCUAACACAUGCAAGUCGAACGGCAGCACAGUAAGAGCUUGCUCUUACGGGUGGCGAGUGGCGGACGGGUGAGGAGUACAUCGGAAUCUACUUUUUCGUGGGGGAUAACGUAGGGAAACUUACGCUAAUACCGCAUACGACCUACGGGUGAAAGCAGGGGAUCUUCGGACCUUGCGCGAUUGAAUGAGCCGAUGUCGGAUUAGCUAGUUGGCGGGGUAAAGGCCCACCAAGGCGACGAUCCGUAGCUGGUCUGAGAGGAUGAUCAGCCACACUGGAACUGAGACACGGUCCAGACUCCUACGGGAGGCAGCAGUGGGGAAUAUUGGACAAUGGGCGCAAGCCUGAUCCAGCCAUACCGCGUGGGUGAAGAAGGCCUUCGGGUUGUAAAGCCCUUUUGUUGGGAAAGAAGAGCAGCAGGUUAAUACCCCGCUGUUCUGACGGUACCCAAAGAAUAAGCACCGGCUAACUUCGUG